AACCCGGAAGGAGCCCCGAGGGGCCCGGUCGCCCCCAUCAGGACGCCCGCCAGGUGUCCACCUGAGCUCCACGCCCUUCACCUUGCCCCGCGGGGCUCUUUGGGAGGCGGGGUGCCAGCUCCUAGGUGUCCUCCCGCAGGAUAUAAACUGGGAAACCGAGGCCCGGGCCACGGUCCCAGACGCGGCCGGGACCCGAACCCACCUCACCUGAGCGAAUGAUACCGGGGACUCAUCCUUUUUCAACACCUUUGCGGGAUCCAGCUCUCCAAGUAAACUUCCUGAGCAGUGCGCACCAUGCGUACUGGGCACCUCACUGCGGCCACCUCACAUUCUGUCUCAGGUGUAGAAACCAAGGCACAAAGAGGAGCUGUCAUUUACCUAAAGCACCCUGGCAGGGGUUUGGCAGAGCCAGGAUUUGAACCUAGAUGUCCUGACUUCGGAGAGUAUCAGCUCUUAACCACAGCACUGAUUUCACCAUAUGUAACAAAACAAAGUCUUGCUUUUUCAUCCAGACUGGAGUGCA